UACGGGGGGGGCAAGCGUUGUUCGGAAUUACUGGGCGUAAAGGGCUCGUAGGCGGCCAACUAAGUCAGACGUGAAAUCCCUCGGCUUAACCGGGGAACUGCGUCUGAUACUGGAUGGCUUGAGAUUGGGAGAGGGGUGCGGAAUUCCAGGUGUAGCGGUGAAAUGCGUAGAUAUCUGGAGGAACACCGGUGGCGAAGGCGGCAUCCUGGACCAACACUGACGCUGAGGAGCGAAAGCCAGGGGAGCAAACGGG
rnacentral:rRNA from 1 species